rnacentral:rRNA from 1 species
AGCAGCCGCGGUAAUUCCAGCUCCAAUAGCGUAUAUUAAAGUUGUUGCAGUUAAAAAGCUCGUAGUUGAAUUUCGAGACCGGCUUACUGGUCGUGCUAUUGUACGUACUGGUAUAAUCGGUUUCUCCUUUCUGACGAACUAUAAUGCCAUUAAUUUGGUGUUUUAGGGAAUCAGGACUGUUACUUUGAAAAAAUUAGAGUGUUUAAAGCAGGCUCACGCUUGAAUACAUUAGCAUGGAAUAACGGAAUAGGACGUUUGAUUCUAUUUUGUUGGUUUCUAGGAUCGACGUAAUGAUUAAUAGGGAUAGUUGGGGGCAUUAGUAUUCAAUUGUCAGAGGUGAAAUUCUUGGAUUUAUUGAAGACUAACUACUGCGAAAGCAUUUGCCAAGGAUGUUUUCAUUAAUCAAGAACGAAAGUUAGGGGAUCGAAGACGAUCAGAUACCGUCGUAGUCUUAACCAUAAACUAUGCCGACUAGGGAUCGGAUGAUGUUAAUUUUUUAAUGACUCA